GAUAAACGCUGGCGGCGUGCAUGAGACAUGCAAGUCGAACGAACAACCCGGGCUUGCCUGGGGAGUUAGUGGCGAACGGCUGAGUAACGCGUAGGUGACCUGCCCGGAAGUGGGGAAUAACUGCCCGAAAGGGUGGCUAAUACCGCAUGUGGCCACAUGUUCAGUCGUGUGACCAAAGCCGCAAGGCGCUUCCGGAGGGGCCUGCGUUCGAUUAGCUCGUUGGUGGGGUAACGGCUCACCAAGGCGACGAUCGAUAGGUGGUCUGAGAGGAUGAUCACCCAGACUGGGACUGAGACACGGCCCAGACUCCUACGGGAGGCGGCAGUCGGGAAUUUUGCUCAAUGGGCGAAAGCCUGAAGCAGCAACGCCGCGUGAGGGAUGAAGGCCUUCGGGUUGUAAACCUCUUUUCUCAGGGACGAUGAUGACGGUACCUGAGGAAUAAGCCACGGCUAACUACGUGCCAGCAGCCGCAGUAAAAC
rnacentral:rRNA from 1 species